UACAGAGGUGGCAAGCGUUGUUCGGAAUUACUGGGCGUAAAGGGCGAGUAGGUGGCCAUCUAAGUCAGACGUGAAAUCCCCGGGCUUAACCUGGGAACUGCAUUUGUGACUGCAUGGCUAGAGUGCGGCAGAGGGGAAUGGAAUUCCGCGUGUAGCAGUGAAAUGCGUAGAUAUGCGGAGGAACACCGAUGGCGAAGGCAAUCCCCUGGGCCUGCACUGACGCUCAUGCACGAAAGCGUGGGGAGCAAACAGG
rnacentral:rRNA from 1 species